GCAUUUCUAUGGAGGGCGCACAAUAGCAGAGGUCUGGCGUGUGGCGGUUUGCUGUAGGGACAAUCGAGGCUUUCUCUUCAUAGCAACACUGUCCACCUGCCGCCGGGUGGGGUGGGCAGGACCCCGCCGCGCGUGGGGGUCGCCGGGCUGCCUGGCGCGUGGGGUCGAGGCUGAGUGCCACUCCGUGGUCCCUGAGUGCACGCCCCCAGUACUGGCCCUGCUACAAGUAAUUCCCUUCCAUCCGUUCCUCGCACGGGUGCCGAACAGCCGCGCGAGUUGGGAAGGACGGAGAGCUGCUGUGCAGUCUUCGCGGCUGGACGCCCUGUGGCCGGGACCCCGCGGCUGCAGCCCCUGGAGCUUAGACGGAGUCUCGCUCGGUUGCCCAGGCUGGAGUGCGGUGGCACAAUCUCGGCUCACUGCAACCUCCGCCUCCCGGGUUCAAGCGAUCCUUCUGCUUCAGCCUCCCGAGUAGCUGGGACUACAGGUGCAUCUCAGAUGCCUUCCAGCAUGUGAAGGACACCAUUGCAUUGGCUCUCACCACCACCAUGCCCUCCUCCUUACCCAGGGUGAAGCAUGAAUCUGCACAUGGGGAGGCUUCAGAGGACAACUGAGACAAGAAGCAGGAAGCUGAGAAAGGAGGACACCUCCCACACACACAUCUAGCAAAAGCUGGACAUUUCUGGUCAGUCAUCCUUAUGCAAAGACUUUCUGGAAGGAGCAGUUAUUCUUGGGUGAGCACUUAUGUAGCAUGAAAGAGGUUAACAUUAGCCCAGGGAAAUCCUUCAAAGUAAUUGAGGGGGAAGGAUACAUUAUUUAUGCAUUUGUUCCCUUCUCUAUCGACAGUAAGAAAUGAUUCAUGGCACCUGUCACAGUCCUAGGUAGUGACAGACACCAGCCUGCACUGUAGCUGAAAACCCCUGAGAAGCCACAGAUGUGCAGUCUUCCCAGCUUGACUACAUGCCCAAGUCUUCUGAACCUUAGUUUCCCAACCUAGGAAAUAAAAAUUGUGCCCUUUACCCCUCAUGAACCUUAUUGGGGUCUUAUAAGAUUGCUCCUGGUUGCCAUUUGGCCCACAGAUGGGUUUAGUUUGGUGGACAGUGUCCCGAAAGACUUACAAAUUCAGAUCUGACUUGUUCAUUUGUGUAGGGGAGAGUUGGUGGCACACAUCCUCUCUGUCACUGUAAGUAUGUUCCAAAUGUCACAUUAGGUCCACUGGCACGUGUAAGCCCUGUCUGGCAUUUGCCUGGUCCCUGCAGGCAUUUGGGUUGGCAGUAAACUUUCUUUUCUAACAGAUUUCUGGAAAUGUUUACAUGUAGCAUAUAAUAGAAUAAUAGAACCACAGAACUUCCACAGUAAAGCCUUCCUUCUUUUAUGUUCCAAAAGCUAAAAUGUACUAACAACCUCCAAAAGGCACUAUGACAUUGGAGUUUAAACUUUGUGGAGCAGGACUCAAAGCUGGACUUAGCUGCUUGCUAACUUUGACCUUGAGUGAAGAGUUAGCAGAUGAUUUAAAGUGUAAAGUAGAAAGAAUUCAUGCUGGUUAGCCCAUUAAAUACCCGUUAAUUAAGCUCUCCAAAAACGCCAUUCAAAAAUGUAUAUGAUAAUCAAAUAUUUAUUGCAAUGUUUCUUAAAAUAGUGAAAAAUUAGAAAACAUUAUAGGGGGCUAGUGUUAAAUCAUGGUGUAACCAGAAAUGAAACAUUAUGCAACCAUAAAAAGGAGUUCUGAAGAGUAGUUCCCGGCAUGAUAUAAUGUGAAAAAAAGCAAAAUACGAAAUUGUGCAAUUCUAAUUUUGCAAAAACUUUCAGCGUACACGACUAUCACUGUAUAAAGUCACAAAGUAGGAAUGGUGAUUGUAUCUUGGAGUGAUGAGAUUAUAAGUGAUUUUUAAUUUUCUUCACUAUGCUUUACUGCAAUUAAACAUUUACAAUUCAAUUUUAUUUAACAAAAAUAUAUAAAACUUCUCAAAUGGAGUAACUUCAGUACCAGACAUCCUCAACCUGACUGCUCUGGAGGUUAUUGUGCAGAGCAAUCUUUGACCAUAUGGUCACAGAUCCAGAAGCCAGACGUCUGUGGGGCUUUGCUCCUGAGACUGUGACCUUUGAUUCCUGCACUCCUCCUCUUGCCAUCUGACGCCGGUCUGCGCCUGUGACUGAGUGAAAAUCGUCAUAACUGUACUCGGAGGUUAACUCUGGCAUGACUGGGAUGGAAUCCCAGGCAACAUGCUGGAGGCAGGAAAGAAGGCCAGCCGGCAAGUCAGAACCAAACACCCUGGACGGCACCUUUCCUUACAAAUGCGGUUCACAGGACCCUUGGGGAUCCUCUGCGCACACUGAGGCAAGCAGCAAUGGAAGAAAUUAUCUUCCACUCCCUUCUUGUUGAAAAUGUCUGUUUUCCAGAAAUGAAUUACAGUAAUAGAUUAUGAAAAUUGUUUCCAUUGCCUACAUAACACAGCAGGGAAUUCUAAAAUUUCAAAACAUGUAAUAUACUCAACCUGUGCUUGAGACUGUAGGGUAUUAUUUAAUUUUUCAG
rnacentral:lncRNA from 10 species